rnacentral:tRNA from 1 species
GCUGAUGUGGUGGAACGGCAGACACCGGGGACUUAAAAUCCCUUGCUGAAAGGCGUGCGGGUUCGAAUCCCGCCAUCAGCACCA